UACGGAAGGCAGCAGUGGGGAAUAUUGCACAAUGGGCGCAAGCCUGAUGCAGCCAUGCCGCGUGUAUGAAGAAGGCCUUCGGGUUGUAAAGUACUUUCAGUCGUGAGGAAGGUGUUAAGGUUAAUAACCUUAGCAAUUGACGUUAGCGACAGAAGAAGCACCGGCUAACUCCGUGCCAGCAGCCGCGGUAAUACGGAGGGUGCGAGCGUUAAUCGGAAUUACUGGGCGUUAAAGGGCACGCAGGCGGUUAAUUAAGUUGGAUGUGAAAUCCCCGGGCUUAACCUGGGAAUGGCAUUCAAGACUGGUUAGCUAGAGUCUUGUAGAGGGGGUAGAAUUCCAUGUGUAGCGGUGAAAUGCGUAGAGAUGUGGAGGAAUACCGGUGGCGAAGGCGGCCCCUGGGACAAAGGACUGACGCUCAUGUGCGAAAGCGUGGGGAGCAAACAGGAUUAGAUACC
rnacentral:rRNA from 1 species